AAAUAGAUUAAAGGCCUGUAUAAAUG
rnacentral:sRNA from 1 species